AUGUUCCAGAACACAACGUAGGUUGUUAAUAUGACUAUGACUUGUGUCUUUGGCUGCUGGACAACAAAAGAAAGUUGAAAACAUGAGAGCUGGUUUCAAUGACAUAGGAGGAAGUGUUUAUAAAAGAAUCCCUCUUUUAAUAUAUUCCUGUGUUCGGAACACCGUAAGAUUUUUACCCCCCCCCCCAAAAAAAAAGUACGCCCAGAUUUUUAAACAAUUACGUUUAUGGUUUAAUAGUUUCCAAAAUGUUGACUGCCUCCGUUCAGAUGGCGAUGUUGUGGUGAUGUUGCGGCUCACAACACAUAACAGGGCUUCAAGUAAGACAGAAUCGAGCUUUCAGACGGUAAUAUUAAUGAUCCUACAUUAUAUUAUUAUUAUUUAUGGACGUUUACAUACACUUAUAUUUUUCUUAACAGAAUAGCUACUGUUUUUGGCUUUCAAAUCAAUUUAAUUUGCUAUUUGGUUUAUGGACUUGGUGCCCUAGCAGAGGGCCUUGGUGCCCUAUCAGAGGGCCGUGGUGCCCUAGCAGGUACCCUUGGUGCCCUAUCAGAGGGCCGUGGUGCCCUAGCAGGUACCCUUGGUGCCCUAUCAGAGGGCCGUGGUGCCCUAGCAGGUACCCUUGGUGCCCUAUCAGAGGGCCGUGGUGCCCUAGCAGGUACCCUUGGUGCCCUAUCAGAGGGCCGUGGUGCCCUAGCAGGUACCCUUGGUGCCCUAUCAGAGGGCCGUGGUGCCCUAGCUGAUACCCGUGGUACCCUAGCAGAGGGCCGUGGUGCCCUAGCAGAGGGCCGUGGUGCCCUAGCAGAGGGCCGUGGUGCCCAAGCAGAGGGCCGUGGUGCCCUAGCUGAUACCCUUGUUGCCCUAGCAGGUACCAUUGGUGCCCUAGCAGAGGGCCGUGGUGCCCUAGCAGAGGGCCGUGGUGCCCUAGCAGGUACCCGUGGUGCCCUAUCAGAGAGCCGUGGUGCCCUAGCAGAGGGCCUUGGUGCCCUAGCAGAGGCCCCUUGGUGCCCUAACAGAGGGCCAUGGUGCCCUAGCAGAGGGCCGUGGUGCCCUAGCUGAUACCCUUGGUGCACUAGCAGAGGCACCUUGUUGCCCUAGCAGGUACCCUUGGUGCCCUAGCAGAGGGCCGUGGUGCCCUAGCAGAGGGCCGUGGUGCCCUAGCAGAUACACUUGGUACCCUAGCAGAUACACUUGGUACCCUAGCAGAUACCCUUGGUACCCUAGCAGAUACCCUUGGUACCCUAGCAGAUACCCUUGGUGUCCUAGCAGAAGGCCUUGGUGUCCUACUAGCAG